AACGAGGGCUUCGUAGCAGUGUCCGUCUUAACUAGGCUGUAAAGGGAGACUAGGCAGUUCCAUAGUUAGUCUCAAAAUAAGCACUUAGAUUUGACUAAAUUUCUUUGGUAACUAUGAGGAAAGUGGACGAUUUUGGUUACUUUUAAAGGAGCAGUGUAAAUGCAUUGAUGUUAAAGGGACCACCAAAUGGCUAUUGCAAAAAUCGAUGCUUUUUUUUUAUAAUCCUGGACGCUGAAUAUCGGAAAGUGUGGGGAGCAAACCGG
rnacentral:rRNA from 1 species